UUUUUUUUAAUAAAAUUUUGUUUGUUUAGUAGUGGGAUACGAAAAAAAUAAUAUAUUAAGUAAGAUAAGUAACGUAAGUGAAGGCUGAAAGCAGAUAAGUAAGGCUGAACUCCUGUACCUUUUGCAUCAUGGUUAAAUAAGAGAAUAAAUGUAUUUUAUUCCCCGAAAUGGGUGCGAUCUAUUUUAAUGUUGAAGGUUUAUGUUGCAGUAUAAUCUUUUAACGUUAAAAUAGUAGUGACAUGCUUCACGCGCCCCAAGAUAGCUGGUUGCUGGAGAAACACAUUGUAGUGUGCUAUUUUAAGUUUUUUGUUCUUAAAGGUUAAGGUUCUGAAAAUUAAGGUAGUCUAAAAGUUAAGUUUAAGCUUGAUUUUGAUUAAUAGAAUAUUUAUUUAUAAUGCGUGUUGUAGGCUUAGAAGCGGCCAUCUUAAGACCGUUAUAGGAUAGUGCAGUUAAAAUUAAGAUAAGUAAUUAUUCUUUUUAAAGUAUCUAGCUAUUGUAAAUGACUAUGGUUUACUUUGCGGAUUUUUAAAUGAGUAAUAGUUUUUAUUUUGUUUUAGUUCAUUUAAAAAUUAUGAUAACUAAAGUAAUUAUAAAAUUAAACGUACAAAAGGAAUUCGGCAAACACCUAUUUCACCUGUUUAACAAAAACAUGGCUCUUUGUCUUAAUAAAAUAAAGAGUCCGGCCUGCUCAAUGAUGAUUUAUCAUUAAAUAGCUGCGGAAUCCUAACCGUGUGAAAGUAGCAUAAUCAUUUGCCUCUUAAUUGGUGGCUGGAAUGAAUGGUACGAUGAAAAUAGAGCUGUCUCUAGUAUGUUUUAUUGAAAUUACCUUUUAGGUGAAAAGGCCUAAAUUUAUCUAUAAGACAAGAAGACCCUAUCGAGCUUUAAGUUUGCUGCAUAGAAUCAUUUAGUUGACUUUUGGUUGGGGCAACCAGGGGGCAUAAAAAAUCCCUCUUUUACUAAUUUACUUACUAGUAAAGAUCCAGUUAUACUGAUCAAAGGAAUAGUUACCGUAGGGAUAACAGCGUAAUUCCUUUUGUGAGUUCUUAUUAACAAAGGAGUUUGCGACCUCGAUGUUGGAUUAAGAUAUCCUGAGGGUGCAGUAGCUUUCAAGGGUUGGUUUGUUCAACCAUUAAAAUCUUACAUGAUCUGAGUUCAGACCGGCGUGAGCCAGGUUGGUUUAUAUCUGUAGAUAAAAAAUUAAGGGACAGUACGAAAGGAUCUUCCUUAUUUUUA
rnacentral:rRNA from 1 species